rnacentral:sRNA from 1 species
UUCCCAAUCCAAGCUAUAUCAUCCAGUCUUUUGAGAUCCUUAUCUCUCUCCAAACCACCAUCAAGAUGUCUCCCUGCUCUUGCAACUGCUGCUCCGGCAACUGCGCCUCUUGCUCUUGCUCCAGCUGCUCUGUAUGUCUCUUCACU